UACAGAGGUCUCAAGCGUUGUUCGGAUUCAUUGGGCGUAAAGAGCUCGUAGGCGGUCUGUUGCGUCGGCUGUGAAAACCCGGGGCUCAACCCCGGGCCUGCAGCCGAUACGGGCAGACUAGAGUUCGGCAGGGGAGACUGGAAUUCCUGGUGUAGCGGUGAAAUGCGCAGAUAUCAGGAGGAACACCGGUGGCGAAGGCGGGUCUCUGGGCCGAUACUGACGCUGAGGAGCGAAAGCGUGGGGAGCGAACAGG
rnacentral:rRNA from 1 species